rnacentral:ncRNA from 1 species
UACAUUAAACAGCGGUUUUGAGAAAUCGGGAGGCGCAAAGCUCAAAGAGCCUAAAGCCUUAAAAGGGUUAUGGCAGUCAGCUGCCGAA